UACAGAGGUCUCAAGCGUUGUUCGGAUUCAUUGGGCGUAAAGGGUGCGUAGGUGGCGCCGUAAGUCAGGUGUGAAAUUUCGGAGCUUAACUCCGAAACUGCAUUUUGAUACUGCGGUGCUUGAGGACUGGAGAGGAGACUGGAAUUUACGGUGUAGCAGUGAAAUGCGUAGAGAUCGUAAGGAAGACCAGUGGCGAAGGCGGGUC
rnacentral:rRNA from 1 species